AAGCUCUGUUUAGGAGCUUUUUUUAUGUUCUAAUAACUAGAUUUCUUGUUAAUUAUCAAAAAAUAAGCUAUAAUAUAUCAUAGCACUUAGUUUAGAAAGAAGGUGUAAGU
rfam:Streptococcus porcinus str. Jelinkova 176 Noncontiguous_Finished_Chromosome, whole genome shotgun sequence.